GGCUAUAGCUCAGCUGGGAGAGCGCUUGCAUGGCAUGCAAGAGGUCGACGGUUCGAUCUAGCU
rnacentral:tRNA from 1 species